rnacentral:rRNA from 1 species
UACGAAGGGGGCUAGCGUUGCUCGGAAUCACUGGGCGUAAAGGGUGCGUAGGCGGGUCUUUUAAGUCAGGGGUGAAAUCCUGGAGCUCAACUCCAGAACUGCCUUUGAUACUGAGGAUCUUGAGUUCGGGAGAGGUGAGUGGGAACUGCGAGUGUAGAGGUGAAAUUCGUAGAUAUUCGCAAGAACACCAGUGGCGAAGGCGGCUCACUGGCCCGAUACUGACGCUGAGGCACGAAAGCGUGGGGAGCAAACAGG